CUACAUAAGCCUUCAAGAUCACUAAGAUCUUCUGACACCAUCUGUUAGUGAUUCCCAGAGUAAAUACACAUCAUGGGAAAGCAUCAUUUAGUUACUACGCAACAAACAGCUGGAAUAAACUUCCUGAAGAUUUAAGACCCCAACUCUGACCACGUUUAAAACAAGACUGAAAACUUUUAUGUUCAGCUUCGCCUUCUGCUAAAUUUGACCUACAUUGCACUUUUAACCUCUGCCUUUAAUUAAACAAUUUAAAUAAGAUUUUAAUUUAUAAUUUUAUUUGCUUCUGCCUUGUGUAUGAAAAGCGCUAUACAAAUAAACUUGCCUUGCCUAGCCUUGCCUUGCCUAUCAAAAAUGUGUUCUAAUUACAUUGAAAUGUCGAGGAUUAAAACUUCUCUCCUGGUUUGUGAAACCUCUGGUCUUCUUUUCCAAGGUGAUAUUUUUAUUCAGCCGCAUCCUUCACAGCUACAGAUAAUGCAUUUCCUGGAGGGAAAUCAGUUUUCUGGGAUGAUGACAUUGCCUAUGAUAAGAUUCAGUCCACACUGGCUGCGCUAUCAAGGCAAUACUCUGACGCAGCUUCGGCCAAGAUGGGUUUCUCACCCAGUGGGACCACUGAGAGGGGCAUGGCACGGGUCGGGCAUUCAUUCACCCCCAAAUGGGUCAAUGAUGCUCAGCCAUUGAGCUAAGACGCACCGUCCUGGAGUGUCGAGCUGAACAUCACCCAGCGACGGCUUGUCAAGGUCAUGAAAAAGAGAACUGCUCUGGACGUGCGCCACCAGAGUGAGAAAAAAGCACCACGAGCGUCCACGAGCAACAGACCGAAGCCGUCUCCAUUAUGGCAGAGACGAAGGACAUUUAAGUUGUUUUUUCUCUCAAAGUGGCCCAGCUUCUAUUGUACAUGGUGAAGUACUGUGAAAUAUAAUGAGGAUAAAUCAGAGGAAAUUAUGUUCAUAACUGUAAAGGUACUACAAGGUCCUUAUGUCAUUUGAUUUAAACUUACAUUUUUCAUUGAGCUGAAGCUUUUAUCCGAAGCGACAAUAAGUGCAUUCAUCCAAGAGGGUGCGGACCGAUGCAAUUCAUUACAUCAAACAUUUCCAUCACUGAAAAAGAAAAUUUACAAUUUCUUAAAAGCCACACGGACAUAAUUGAGCACCACCAAAUGCAUCUCCUUUUGAAUAGAAUAAUCAUUUGUAUUAGAAAACCAGUUAGUAACUGCUUGGUUCAUUUUCAAAACGUCUCCUUUCUUAAAAUAUUUUAAAUUUGUUGAACUACUUCCAGACAUUAUCUUCAUUAUUGCAUUACCAGUCGAGCUCUGCGCUUUCAAGUUAAACAGACAAUCGUUACAGCAUGCGCACAAAGCGGUUUGUUGUGUGGUAUUAGUCUCCCAGUCUUCUGUCUUCUGUUCCCCAAGUGUCCCACAGUCUUCUGAAUUAUGUUCCCUGAGUGUCCCACACUCUUCUGUGUUAUUUUCCCUGAUCCUUCCACAGUCUUCUGAAUUAUGUUCCCUGAGUGUCCCACAGUCUUCUGAAUUAUGUUCCCUGAGUGUCCCACACUCUUCUGUGUUAUUUUCCCUGAUCCUUCCACAGUCUUCUGAAUUAUGUUCCCUGAGUGUCCCACAGUCUUCUGAAUUAUGUUCCCUGAGUGUCCCACACUCUUCUGUGUUAUUUUCCCUGAUCCUUCCACAGUCUUCUGAAUUAUGUUCCCUGAGUGUCCCACAGUCUUCUGAAUUAUGUUCCCUGAGUGUCCCACUCUUCUGUAUUAUUUUCCCUGAUCCUUCCACACCCUUCUGUAUUAUGUUCCCUGAGUGGCCCACAGUCUUCUGUAUUAUGUUCCCUGAUCCUUCCACACCCUUCUGUAUUAUGUUCCAUGAGUGUCCCACACUCUUCUGUAUUAUGUUCCCUGAUCC
ensembl:lncRNA